CUAAAAUUUCUGGUGACAUUUACCUUCAUAUUUAAGGAAGAAAUUGAAGCCUCAGUUAGGAUUCUAAUCCAAGUUUAUAAAGUAGAUGUGUGUUCCGAGUCCUGCUUGCAAAGCUAUCUUGAAGAGUUAGCACCGUGAAUUGGAAGACAUCUGGAUUUGAACUUUCAAACAUAUAAGGUUAUCUGAUCAGCUGCAUGAAACUACAUAGAACUGUAGUUCUAUGGCCAUCCCCAUGACAUUAAAACUUCUAGUUCUAUUUGGAAAUUGGGUCGAAGAACUGGGACAACCAAAAAUAUGGAUAUUUUUGCUCCCACCAUGAAUCAAAGAAGCUUCUUUUGUCAGCAAAUGGAGACUAUUACAGAAAAGCAAAAUUGGUCAUAAUUCAGAGAACUAUUGAUCCCAGGGAGCCUAGCCCCAGGGAAUACAACUACACAACUCCUGUAGCCAAGGCUCGAGGAUAUCAAGAAGGUACAGAGAAACUGUAAUAACCAGAAUACCAGGAAAUCUGCUACAUGUGAGAUUGUAUCUCCUAGGAAUGACUAAGAAACUUCACCCAGGUUACCUCAAUGACAUGGCUACCUAACAAGACCUUAACAAUUAUAAUCCCAAUGGAUACACUAAUGUGGAAGGGGGAUAUCUCAUGGGUCCCACCCCUAGACAAGGAACUACAGGCAACUAAAUGAUCACUGAGAGCAGAAGAAUUAGCCUCAACCAGGGAGAGCCUCCUAACUGGUUAUCCAAUACAAAUGCUCAGCCCUGAAAUCAUAUACAUACAAGCAAGACUAAACAAAUUUAGCAGCUUCUAUUUAUAUAUUUGUGCAUUCAUAUGCAUGUGUGUAACAGUGGUAAUAAAAGAAAAAAAAGACCAUCAAUCUGAGAAAGUGAGGGGGUAAUGGGAGGGAUUGGAGAAAGAGGGCAUUAGGAAGACUUGGAGGGAGGAAAAAUUAAAAUUAGAAGGGACAAAAAGGAAAAUCACAUGGAAACAUAAUUAGGCUAAUUAGACAGGCAAACUUACCUGUCUU